AUGGAAAUUAUGAGAGCCCACCAUUAUCUGUACUUCUCACAUCAACCUGGACUGGGGGAGGGGGCGGCGGGGGCGAGGCGGCGAGCGAGCGGGCACGGCGGUCUCGGCGGAGCCCGGGAGCUUCGCGGCGGCUGCUCCGGCUCCGCGCUGGCCCCGCACACAGCUCCGGCUCGUCCGCGCAGGCGCCACAGGCGGCUCGGGCAGGGGCGGGGCACCCGGGGGGCGGCAACGCCUACGAGCCCUCCCAUGAGUAAGCGCGGAGCCGGGGGCUGCGACGUGGGAUUGCGCUGCGGAGCUGCCCAUCAAGCUCCGGAGGCCAAUAGGAAGGCAGGUGGGCGGUGCGUUCAGGUUGCUAGGGAAGGCGGAGGGUGAGCGCCGCCGCUGUGCCGCGGGGAAGGCGCCCCAAUGGAGCGAGGGAGCGAGGCAGCGAGCGGCUGGCCGAGGCUGCUCUAGGGGCUGCCCAGCCGCUCUCUCCUCUCCGCCGGGUCUCCGGAAACCGCCUUGCUUCUGGGGGCCGGUGCUUACCGGGGCUGCCGCGGUUGCCAACCACACACAUAGUCAGAUGAUUAACUUUUCUGUUUCCUUCCACUUGCAACCAGAACGUGGGGUUUCGUCUUCUGCGUGUCAGUGCCUCUGGGAGUCAUUGUUAGGUAUGCAACAAGUGUUUUCGAUGGAUGAUGGACCAUUGGAUGCAGCGAUGGCUCGCUGGCGGCAUCGGGAUGGUGACAGUGCAUUCCAUGAACUUUUGGCUCCUCCAUCACCACAAAAUCAUAACAAUCUGCUAGUUGCAGAUUUCCUCCGGGAAUCCCUCCUGGAGGCUUUUGAGAAACGAAAUACGGUCCAUUAACCAAUGGAAGAAACUUCAUUUUGAUAGUUGUGUGUGUGUGUGUGUGUCUGUGUCUGUGUGCUUCAGUGUGUUUCAUUAGGAGAAAAAUACCUGUCACAUCAGACUGUUAUUUCACUGAUGCUAUUUCUUAGAUUAAAUAGAAAGCUAUAAAAAAAAAGAAUCUAUUUAAAGAAAAAUAUUCAGUAAAAAACGACAUCUUACAUGCAGUGCAAGCACGUGCAAAUUGAUAGUGUUUGAACUAAAAACAGUGGUUACCCAGGCGUAGAAGGAUUAUUAGCUGAGAAGGAGGAGGGGUGCUGGAAAUGUUCCGUAUUUUGAUCUAGAUGCUGGAUAACAAAGUUAUAAACAUGAAAACUCAUUCAGCUCUACACUUAAGUGCACUUUGCACAGUUUACACAUGUAUUUGUCUGUGUUCAUUUUUUAAAUAUUGGCACAAGAUAUGGCAGAAAGAAAGGAAAGAAGAAAGAAAGAAAGAAAGAAAGAAAGAAAGAAAGAAAGAAAGAAAGAAAGAAAGAAAGAAAGAAAGAAAGAAAGAAAGAGAGAAAGAAAAGAAGUGCAUGACUUUCUUUUUUGGAAACCCUAAUCCAGGCAAGCUUACCACCAGGGACUGAGAGAGGGGUAUGGGAGUACUUACUGGGUGUAUCUGUCACUUCCAUUGUGGGGUGGCUUUAAAUCUUAGAAAUUAACUACGAGUUAGACUUGAGCUGAAAUCUGCUUCCCUGUAGGUGGACCUGGUUCUCACAUGUAUUUUCCUAGUUCACCCUCACAGAAUGGAAAAACCAAGGCCAAACACUCCCAGUGCUUUAUGUGAAAUUAUUUUCCAACCACCUCAUCAUGCUGCCCACCCUCCUCAACACUCACUGUAAUCUGUCCUUGUCAAUAUUUGAACGGCAGCACAGAACAAGGAGUAUCCUAGAUCCUGGCCCUGACUACACCAUAAAGGAUCCCACCAUGAACAGACCACUCCUCAAGAGCCUCAGUCUCCUGUAAACCUAGAAAAUCACUUAGACUGUCAUAGGUGAUAAUCUCAUAGUUUUCUCCUAGAGCCUAGCUGCUCUGUUACAAAGGCAGCAGCAAAUAAAUGUUACCAUGUCAUCUUUCUAGCGACUGCU
rnacentral:lncRNA from 12 species